rnacentral:rRNA from 1 species
CCUACGGGUGGCAGCAGUGAGGAAUAUUGGUCAAUGGCCGGAAGGCUGAACCAGCCAAGCCGCGUGAAGGACGAAGGUGCCAAGCAUUGUAAACUUCUUUUGUCAAGGGACAAAAUCAGGCUCGAGAGCCUGACCCAGGGUCCUUGUAGAAAAAGCAUCCGCAAACUAUGUGCCAGCAGCCGCGGUAAUACGGAGGUGGCGAGGGUUAUCCGGAUUUAUGGGGGUUAAGGGGUGCGUAGGCGGGCUGUUAAGUCAGCGGUCAAAGCCCGGGGCUCAACCCCGGCGAGCCUUUGAAACUGGCUGUCUUGAGAUUUCGAGAGGUAAGCGGAAUGCGCAGUGUAGCGGUGAAAUGCUUAGAUAUUGCGAAGAACUCCGAUUGCGAAGGCAGCAUACCGGCGGCGAUCUGACGCUGAGGCACGAAAGCGUGGGUAUCGAACAGGAUUAGAUACCCCAGUAGUC